rnacentral:lncRNA from 1 species
UGGUUCCUCUAGUUUCAAAAGAAUUGCAUUGCUUAAGCUUGGCUUAGAGGAAAGUGGCAAGAGAUCCUGGGCACACCUCUUUCCCAAAUCAGGCAAAUACAGGUCCUUCCAUUUCAGGUAUUUCCAGAUAGAAGGAAGUUUUCCUCCAUGCUCUUGGCCCAAAAUCCCUUGUCUCCUGUUGUGCUGUCUGGCUAAGGUAAAAUGGGUGCUACAACUAUGGAGAGAGCAACAAUCAACAGAA